UGAUGUUGUUGAAAAUGAUUCCUUGAAACAUGACCAUCUUCACCGGGUACAAAUACACACAACAUCAUUUUGAACUAGAUCCAGCUUCUUCCUUUGUCCAGAUCCAGCUUCUCCGAAUACUGAUUUGUUUGCUAUUGCUGUGGCUAUACUACGUCUUACUCGCUUGUGUUUGAUUUAGCUUUAGAUUUAGGAUUUUCUAAGUUUUGUGGUUUAUUUGAUUUCUGACUUUCUGUUGUGAUUCAUUCAUUUGGAUGCAUUUUUUCAGAUCUGUGAGCUGAAGGUGUAAAGAAAUCUUUUAGGGGAAGAUUUAGGUCCACUGAGUUCUAAAGAUCUUAAGCAGCUUGAAAGGCAAUUGGAUUCAUCUCUGAAGCAUGUUAGGUCAACAAAGAAAUCUUUUAGGGGAAGAUUUAGGUCCACUGAGUUCUAAAGAUCUUGAGCAGCUUGAAAGGCAAUUGAAUUCAUCUCUAAAGCAUGUUAGGUCAACAAAGGUUUAUGUAGCUACAAAUAGGAUUUCUCCUUUAUCACAUUUUCAGGGCUUUUUGAAGAAUCUACAAAUAAGGUUAGAGUGAAAAUACUUAGUUUUCAACUCCAUUAUUAGAACUGAUGCCCUUACUUUUAUUGGUUUAUUUAAUCUUGGAUACUAAAAGAAACCAUUAAAGAA